CCACUCCCCAGCUGCAUUAGCGUCUGCAGACUCAGGCUCCACAUGGACACUGAUUGGCUGUAGCGCUGUGUGGCUGCCAUGGCAACGCUGGCCGCUCCCUCAGCAUCUCCGGCUGAGAGCAGGAUCUGUAGCUGGCAUCAUGCUACCAGUGCUGAGGCUCUUGACGCCCUCCUCGUAGACCUGGCAGCAACGCUCUUCUCUUCGGCUAAUGUCUGAGGCCCGGCCUUUUGCCGAAUGCAGCUCCUCUCCAGCACCCGGACCUUCCAGCUGCCUUUUGGCCAUGAAAUCCCAUGUCAAGCUCUCAUCUGUGUAAUUGCUGUUUAAGCUGUAAAGAAGCCAGUAGAAAGAGUAGAAGUGGCAUCUUUGUAAACAAGCUCAGCCAGUUUACCUGCCAGGAUCUCAGGAGAGAACUCAUAUUCACCCUAAAAAACGUCCAUCUCAGCAUCCUCCAGCUCCUUCUUCUGCUUCUUCAGUUUUUCGCAAUGCAGCAGCUCCAUACGGAAGUACUAACACACACACGAACAAAGAAUAUACAAUGGUCAGAAAAUGUAUCAUAUACUUAAACUGUACAAGACUGACUUGCUUUCUCAUUCUGAAAAAAAAACUAACCUCCUGGUAGACUUUCUUGUCCUUUGGGUGGAACCUUAGAGCUCUGAGAAACAGGUGUCUGGCAUUUUCAGAGGAAUUCCUAUCCUCAAGCUCACUCUUGGCAGCCAUUAUCCAGAGAGCUAACGUGUAAAAAACACACAACAACAACGGUAAUUGUACCUGAACACCUGUUGAUUAUCAAGACUGGGAGCUCUAAAGGAGUUUGUACCUGGUUUGUCAGGGUGGAUAGCAAGCAUGGCUGAGAACACCUUACUGAUCUGACCUUUGGUGCCCUGAGGAGUGAAACGCACCAUUAUUAAAAUGAGAAGAGAUUGUUUCUAACACAAACUGAAGACUAAAAGAAACUCAUGAGAUUUUUACGUACCCAUUUCUUACAGAAGGCAACAUGUGAGAGCCAAAGCUGCACAUCGUCCUGUGGUAAACAAAUAUAUGUGGUUUCUUUAUGCUUUCAUCCUUAAAGUCAGAUUAAAGAAACUACAAACUGUGAAUAUUCUCUAAAACUGUUUCGACGCGUACUUUCAAGUCAAAAUUACAGGAUCGAUUUGUGAUUAGAAUGCAUAGUUGGUCACAUUUUAUGCUAGUAAUAAUCUGGCAUGUAAAAACAUAUUUUAAUUAAAAAAACAUUUUACUUUUGAUAAAGGCUAGAAAGAUGUUUUUAUUUUAAUUUGACUUUCAGUGAAUAUUUUAAAUAUGAUGUAUGAUUAAAAUGCUGAUGAAUUAAGGUAAGGUUUCCUGACAGGAGAGUCUUCCCCUCCACCUCUAUGAUACAAUGCUUUAACUAAACGAAUAACUAUUACACACACUGCAUGCUGAACAGUACCUUCCACUUCUUGGUUGCUCGUUUGAAGAUACUAUUUAUUCUGUGGAUGAUGGGGUAUUCAAUCUCUUCUCUCUUGAAAUGGUAGUUUAUGUGCUGCAAUUUAAAUGAUAUACAGUGAAAUGAAAAAGUAUCCAUUCAAUUAAACUGUUAUUUUUUUGUCCAAAUCCAAAAUAAAUGUUAAUGCAUCA